AAAGACCUUUUAAGUAUUGAAAAAAGAAAAAAAAAAUUACUUCAUUUAAUAUUAAAGUGAGCAAUAAUAUUAUUUCAAAAGAAAAAGGUGAGCAAUAAUAAUGAGUAGUGACUAGUGCUGGGGGCGACUGGCACAUGAUCACCAACGAUUUCCACCAGUUAUGUCAUCCGCACGUUAUCAUCUACACGCUGAUUCACUUCAUCUUUUUGCUAUUCCUCCUAAUGCGUGUAAUUUUCCUUGAGAAAAAAUUAUUUGAAUCUGUAGAUCCUCGAACUAUUGGAAGCACUUUAAAAACACAACUUCGUCGGUCCAAAAAUCAUUAGCAUCCAAAAAUCAUCAACAGUUGACCCAAGCAUUUUGUAAUGUAGGCUAGAACUUGAGUGAACCUCGGCUAUGCAGUACCAUACGCAUGGCUAAGAGUCAACAGAAAGGUUCAUACUUGAUAAUCCCAUUACAAUAUGGGUUAAGCCAAGGCAGUAAGUUACUGUGAAAAAUUGGAUGACUAUUGCCAUUGGGAUCGUUCCUUCUCAAAUAGGUAGAUCAUAAAUACAUGGUAAGCAGUGAGGAAUAAUCAAUCAUCUUCACCCCAAACCAGCGCUAAAAGACCUAUGCCCAGUUUAACUAUUCAAACUAUUCAACCUAGCCUUGUGGCUAACAAAGUCAAUUUUCAAUUUUUAUAACCGCUAUUUGUAGUCACUACAGGCUUCAAAAGUAGCUGACUUCCCAAACCAAGCCAGUACCAACUAAUCACGAUCAGAAUCUGACAUCGGCGUCUGGCAAGCACCUUUUGGUUCCAUAUCUGUUACGGAAGGAGAUAUAUACCUAUUGGAGGCAUUUCUUCUUCUCUCUCUCUGUUUUCGCAUAGUUUCAUCCUUCACAUUUGAUUGAC
rnacentral:misc_RNA from 1 species